rfam:Methylacidiphilum fumariolicum SolV, WGS project CAHT01000000 data, contig: 67-2114
GCCGGCUUAGCUCAGAGGUAGAGCAACGGUUUUGUAAACCGUGGGUCGAGGGUUCGAAUCCCUCAGCCGGCU